rnacentral:rRNA from 1 species
AAAUUGAAGAGUUUGAUCAUGGCUCAGAUUGAACGCUGGCGGCAGGCCUAACACAUGCAAGUCGAACGGUAACAGGAAUCAGCUUGCUGAUUCGCUGACGAGUGGCGGACGGGUGAGUAAUGUCUGGGAAACUGCCUGAUGGAGGGGGAUAACUACUGGAAACGGUAGCUAAUACCGCAUAAUGUCGCAAGACCAAAGAGGGGGACCUUCGGGCCUCUUGCCAUCGGAUGUGCCCAGAUGGGAUUAGCUUGUUGGUGGGGUAACGGCUCACCAAGGCGACGAUCCCUAGCUGGUCUGAGAGGAUGACCAGCCACACUGGAACUGAGACACGGUCCAGACUCCUACGGGAGGCAGCAGUGGGGAAUAUUGCACAAUGGGCGCAAGCCUGAUGCAGCCAUGCCGCGUGUAUGAAGAAGGCCUUCGGGUUGUAAAGUACUUUCAGCGGGGAGGAAGGGAGUAAAGUUAAUACCUUUGCUCAUUGACGUUAUCCGCAGAAGAAGCACCGGCUAACUCCGUGCCAGCAGCCGCGGUAAUACGGAGGGUGCAAGCGUUAAUCGGAAUUACUGGGCGUAAAGCGCACGCAGGCGGUUUGUUAAGUCAGAUGUGAAAUCCCCGGGCUCAACCUGGGAACUGCAUCUGAUACUGGCAAGCUUGAGUCUCGUAGAGGGGGGUAGAAUUCCAGGUGUAGCGGUGAAAUGCGUAGAGAUCUGGAGGAAUACCGGUGGCGAAGGCGGCCCCCUGGACGAAGACUGACGCUCAGGUGCGAAAGCGUGGGGAGCAAACAGGAUUAGAUACCCUGGUAGUCCACGCCGUAAACGAUGUCGACUUGGAGGUUGUGCCCUUGAGGCGUGGCUUCCGGAGCUAACGCGUUAAGUCGACCGCCUGGGGAGUACGGCCGCAAGGUUAAAACUCAAAUGAAUUGACGGGGGCCCGCACAAGCGGUGGAGCAUGUGGUUUAAUUCGAUGCAACGCGAAGAACCUUACCUGGUCUUGACAUCCACGGAAGUUUUCAGAGAUGAGAAUGUGCCUUCGGGAACCGUGAGACAGGUGCUGCAUGGCUGUCGUCAGCUCGUGUUGUGAAAUGUUGGGUUAAGUCCCGCAACGAGCGCAACCCUUAUCCUUUGUUGCCAGCGGUCCGGCCGGGAACUCAAAGGAGACUGCCAGUGAUAAACUGGAGGAAGGUGGGGACGACGUCAAGUCAUCAUGGCCCUUACGACCAGGGCUACACACGUGCUACAAUGGCGCAUACAAAGAGAAGCGACCUCGCGAGAGCAAGCGGACCUCAUAAAGUGCGUCGUAGUCCGGAUUGGAGUCUGCAACUCGACUCCAUGAAGUCGGAAUCGCUAGUAAUCGUGGAUCAGAAUGCCACGGUGAAUACGUUCCCGGGCCUUGUACACACCGCCCGUCACACCAUGGGAGUGGGUUGCAAAAGAAGUAGGUAGCUUAACCUUUGGGAGGGCGCUUACCACUUUGUGAUUCAUGACUGGGGUGAAGUCGUAACAAGGUAACCGUAGGGGAACCUGCGGUUGGAUCACCUCCUUA